GAUGAACGCUGGCGGCGUGCCUAACACAUGCAAGUCGAGCGAUUCUCUUCGGAGAAGAGCGGCGGACGGGUGAGUAACGCGUGGGUAACCUGCCCUGUACACACGGAUAACAUACCGAAAGGUAUGCUAAUACGAGAUAAUAUGCUUUUGUCGCAUGGUAGAAGGAUCAAAGCACCGGCGGUACAGGAUGGGCCCGCGUCGGAUUAGCUAGUUGGUGAGGUAAUGGCUCACCAAGGCGACGAUCCGUAGCUGGUUUGAGAGAACGACCAGCCACACUGGGACUGAGACACGGCCCAGACUCCUACGGGAGGCAGCAGUGGGGAAUAUUGGACAAUGGGCGCAAGCCUGAUCCAGCCAUGCCGCGUGAGUGAUGAAGGCCUUAGGGUUGUAAAGCUCUUUUAGCAGGGAAGAUAAUGACUGUACCUGCAGAAUAAGCUCCGGCUAACUUCGUGCCAGCCGCCGCAGUAA
rnacentral:rRNA from 1 species